rnacentral:tRNA from 1 species
GGGUGGUUAGUCUAAUCAAGACAGCUAAUUUCGGCUUAGUAAAUACUGGUUUAAAUCCUCUAUCACCUU